CAGAGGAUCAAGGAAGGAUUGGU
rnacentral:piRNA from 1 species